rnacentral:pre_miRNA from 1 species
AUCAUGGGCCUGACACAAAGCCCACUGAAGUUAAUGGGAGUCUUUCCAUUGUCUUCGGCGGGAUUUGGAUCAGGCCCCAUAAAA